rnacentral:tRNA from 1 species
GACUGCGUGGCGCAGUGGAAGCGCGUUGUGCUCACAUUCUGAGAGCCACAAAGGCCCGUGGAUCGAAACCGCGCGUGGUCA